rnacentral:misc_RNA from 1 species
GCAAGGAAUCUGUUGGUUAUCUAGUGGAUUUGCGCAUGCUUGUAGUGUGAGUUAGUUUAAGUGAUGAGUUGUAAGAUAGGAGACACCCACACUCUGGCAAAGGGUAAGUAUAAAUGGAAGUUUUUCUGUUAAUUUUUCUAACUCUGGGUACCAUCACUCCCUGGCGAUCACUUUCUUUGAGCAUCAUUUCCAUCUGAUCCUUGAAAGCCUUCCAACUGCAAAUCAAGAGUAGACAUUGUGUCAUCAAUGACUUACACAAUCUUGUUUCUAUUGGCCCCUCACCAAAAUCCUAUAGUUCAACCCUGUACUUAGAAAAGGCGCUGACACAAUUGCUACAUAUUUCUAAACUCAGCUUUUAACUUAACCUCAAGCACAUCUUGCAAAACACACCAUAUUUAAAAAUAAAAGAAAAGAAAACCUUCACUACACUAGAGUACAAAUGUGAUCUUCACCCACAAGCCAUGUAACUAGAGAAUUUCAACUAGCCCAAUCCGCAGGACUUCUACUUUAUGUAACAAACCGAAGGUUGUAAGUGCCACCCUACAAGUUACCAGCCAUCAUAUACACACUAUCUCCUAUUGAAUUAAUGUCUGGCAAAAGUAAUAUCAUAUCAAGUGGUAGAAGAUAGAAUCAGUCUAAGUCCAAAAUUUUGAAAGACUCUGACAUGUAUAAAUUUCUUGAAACAGCAGUACUUUUUUAACAAGGAAUAAUGCAUGAGAGGGUAAGAUACCUUAUUUCCAUAUCCUGCAGGAGAACAACAAGCUUGCGCUUAUCAGGCCUAAUGGUCUUUGCAUGCCCAUCAAAAAGGAAUCUCCGUUGACCCAUCAGAAAAUGUGGGAAGUUUCCACCCUGAGUUGUCAUGAAAACCUCACUAAACAAGCAUACAGUGUAAUCCAAAGCUGCCAACCUCGAAGAAUAGCCCUCAAAAGAAGCAAGCUCAUCUGGGGUUGCAAGAGAGUCCUUGGUGUAAAGAAGGGGGAACAUCUGCAACAAAGGAGUUAAAUAUCUUUCUGCUUUGUAAAUUUUCCCCGAUGCUAAAUAAAUUGACGUGUUGUUAUCAAAUCCCAUACCACGCAGCAUCAUCCCAACCUAUGCUGACAGUAAAAAUAUCAUGCAACAAAAAGAUUUAUGUUUUGCCAAAAUAGAUUAGCAUGAAUGAAAAUCAGCAAGGUGUAAUUGAAAGAAAACGUAAAAUGUUAACCAAAUGUAGCAAGCAUGGCAUGUUAUGCAAAAAUAACAUAGCAUCAAAAUUACUUCUGUUUUAGUUUGUACAUUAUAAAACGGUGUUCAAAUAUCUUGUUUCACUUUUCACAUGGUAAUGCAUGGAUUGCAAAUAUCAAACAGAAGGAUCCAAAUGAAGUUGAGUUCAAUAAGCUAUGAACUUAGAAAGGCUCUAAAGUCCGUCUUUUUCAGGCUACAUUAACAUUACAUGCGUAAAACAAGUAUAAAAAAUGAAACUCUUAACAUUUUGAAACAUAAAAAAAUUUGGAGGGGAACAAAAUGGCCUACACCAAGCCAGAAUAUAAAAAAUCAAAACGUACAAAUAACUAUUUGAGUUGGCCACAAAACCCCAGGCCAUUAUGUUCUUACCUACAGCCUUAAAAGAAUGUUUCAUCUGAUGCUCCCAUCAUGCUUUGCAGAAUGUUGAAAUAAAUAACUAAUGCUACAAGAAAAAGCUAAAGACCAGAGAAAUUUCUUUUAAGCUUGUCAGCAAAGCACAAUAGCAACUGCUUCAAUGAUAAGGAAAAUCCUAGCCAAAGCUGUUACAAAAAGAGCUCAAAUCAAAAUGUCAAAGGCCCAAAAAGCAAGAGAGGAUGCGUAUAUAUGGGGUACCUACCUCCAAGGGAGUUAGAGGGCAUUUUCCUUCAAUACGAUUGAGACCAGGUAUAAUGACACGGUCUUUUCUUUUGAACUUUCUCCUCCACCCUAUUUCUCUAAUUGAAUCCAUUUUGAGCUUUUCAGCGUCUCCUCCAUCAUACACACAACAUGAGAAGGCCACCAUGUCCUCCUCAAAGCGGAGGUGGAUAGAGACAUAUUUUCCACCAGUCCUUGAGCUCUUCUCAAUCAUUCGGUCUACUAGUUUGUGUGCGAGUGUUGAUAUUGGGGAAGAGAACCUGAGGGCUUUAUAAUUUGCCAUACAUCUCAGCAAUUGGAUAUGAGGUGGGAUGCUCAUUGCCAAUCUAUUGGCAAAGGGAGCAAUGCGGAUAACCCCUUUCUCCUGAAGGACAGGAUAAACUUCUCCCAGGUAAUAAUUAGCAGGAGCCCAAGCUUGGACACGGAUGUUUGGAAUACUACUAAUGUUGUAGUCAUAUCUUUCCAUCACUUCAUCAGGUAGCUCUUUAACCACUUUCACAUGACCCUCAAGGGUGGCUAUAAAAUGAUCCUCAUCAUAUAUGUCCUUAAACUCACUUGGAUCCCUCCAGACACUGUUGAAUUCAAAGUGAGGGAUGACUAGUAUUGCAUUCAAAAGUCCAGCUAAUGCAACUGCAUUGCAGAUCGCAGAACGCUGCUGGUUGAGACCACCAUUUGCCUCAAUAAUCAAGUAACCAUUAGGACCAGAUGACUCUGCAAUUCAAUUGAUAAUACAAGCUUUAAUUUACAUAGUACAGCUAAUUUCCCCUAAGUAUGGAGCAACAAGUCAAAAGUUAUCCUCCCAGCUCACAAAGUUCAUAGUAGGUUGAGGAUAACAGAUAAAUUUAAGGCCCCCCGCUUAUGAUUUGCAGGACACAAAAGGAGAUGCUUCUUUUUUUCUGUUUGUAUUUAUUUCAUACAAUCCAUGGGUUUAGAACCCUGCUGCUUGCAACACCCAAAAGGAUACGCAUUAGCAAGUAGCUGUAACUCCCAGGUUAAAAGUUUUCCCACAAGAAAAUUCAAACUCCACACCAGUAGUUGGAUUUAGCUACCUUCAUUUGCAGCAAAAUGUUGUUGCCUAGCAGUUGAAUUGCGACAUGGUUUCUGCACUUUCAACCUCCUUUUGAAUUUCCAUAGAGAUGACAACUCGAUUGCAGUAGAAUUAUCCGCUGCAAUAUCAGGCCAGAGCUUUGCAAACAACUCAUGGCUCCGAUACACCGAACCAGGAAGAUUAGGUUGAAGCAAGCCAGAGAAGGGCCCCACACACAUGAUCAAACCAGAAAUAUACAGCAAAGGCAAGAGCAGCAAGUACCGGAUGUUCCACCGGAGAAAGAUCCCAGCAGUAAGGUUCUCCCGGCGAAAAUGAGACUGAACUUUAGAGCGAAGCCGGCGGCGGCAUUGGGAUAUUCCGGUCUGGAGGUGACGGCGGGGAGAAGGCGGCGGGCUGGGAGAGUUGCUGUCGCCGCUUCCCUCGCUAGCACAGCCAGUAUUGCCGUUUCCGUUGUGUACCUUGGCUUUCAUUGCAGUAGCAGUGUUUAUGGCAAUGCGAAUAGAGAGACAGAGAGAGAGUAGUGUCUGUUUCUUGUGAGCAGAGAAAGCAAAAAAGAUGGGUUUUGAUUGCAUACGAUGCGGUGGCGUAUGGCGUUUCCGCUUUUUGUAAUGCCGUUUUCAGGAGAUUUUUUAGUGUGAUCACUGCUCACCGAACAGUGCAGAGAGGGAAG